GUAUAUACAGUACACUGACGACACCUUCAGGACACAGACGGAACUGCAGCCGGAACAACUGCACCUCGGCAUUCUGGGUCCUAUAAUCAGGGUGGAGGUGGGAGAGGAGGUUCUGAUCACCUUUAAGAACAGAGCCAGCCGUCCGUACUCUAUACACGCUCACGGAGUGGUCACUACCGACACACACACACCUGUCCAGCCAGGUUAUAUGACAGGUUCAGGUGGGUAGGUGCAGAGAGCUCUG